rnacentral:lncRNA from 10 species
CCUAAGCCUCACGCUCCCUUGCCCCGCGUGUCCUGUUGCUUCCCUGAUCUUCUCCGUGACCUGUAGCUAAACCUUCCACCAGCGCUUGAGAACUUAAUUUGAACCGGAUCCUUUCCCAGACCCCUUUCUUCUUCUCCUCCUCCUCCUCCACCUCCUCCAGGGCGCCCUGAAAGGACCAGGACAUGCGGGUGCGGUGGAUGCUCUUUUGGCUCCUCUUUGGGCUCCUACUGGAAUUUAUCAGCCAUCAGUGCAUCUCUGUUAUCAAUACUCUGGCUGACCAUCAUCAUCGUGGGACUGACUUUGGUGGAAGUCCUUGGUUACAUGUCAUUAUUGCAUUUCCGACAAGUUAUAAAGUUGUCAUUACCCUCUGGAUAGUUUACCUUUGGG